rnacentral:tRNA from 1 species
AGGCUUGUAGCUCAGGUGGUUAGAGCCCACCCCUGAUAAGGGUGAGGUCGGUGGUUCAAGUCCACUCAGGCCUA